ACCACUUGUUGCCUCGGCGGAUCAGCCCGCUCCCGGUAAAACGGGACGGCCCGCCAGAGGACCCCUAAACUCUGUUUCUAUAUGUAACUUCUGAGUAAAACCAUAAAUAAAUCAAAACUUUCAACAACGGAUCUCUUGGUUCUGGCAUCGAUGAAGAACGCAGCAAAAUGCGAUAAGUAAUGUGAAUUGCAGAAUUCAGUGAAUCAUCGAAUCUUUGAACGCACAUUGCGCCCGCCAGUAUUCUGGCGGGCAUGCCUGUUCGAGCGUCAUUUCAACCCUCAAGCACAGCUUGGUGUUGGGACUCGCGUUAAUUCGCGUUCCCCAAAUUGAUUGGCGGUCACGUCGAGCUUCCAUAGCGUAGUAGUAAAACCCUCGUUACUGGUAAUCGUCGCGGCCACGCCGUUAAACCCCAACUUCUGAAUGUUGACCUCGGAUCAGGUAGGAAUACCCGCUGAACUUAAGCAUAUCA
rnacentral:rRNA from 1 species